CUUGAUCAACGUCAGGAUGCCGGAAGCUGCUUUACCGGAUGGUCCCAGGCUGAUCUUCCAGCAAAAGGUGGAGUGAGGAACAGGCUGAAUAGUUAUUGUACAUCAAGGGGCUGGGAAUGGGCGAAACCGCUCAGGCUGUGUGUCUGACACCAUAUGACAUUUGUAGAUAUUAACUGAAAUUGAAAACAUCGGGGGCGACAUAGCAUUUUGGAUAUGGUUUGCAACUCAUGUAAUGUCAACUUUGAACAGUUCAAGAUCCAGUUUUCACCAGUGGUGGACUGGGUAUGGGACUUUCACUGGACGAGAGCCUUACUCCAUGCUGUAUGAGUUAGGAAUGUUUGAGUCAAUCACUAUGAUGGUUUCUGCCUUUUACAGACAGUGAGUUCCAGAGUCCCAGUGCAGUCUGGGUGAAAAAUGCUUUCCUCACAUCCCCCAGAAACCUCCAGCCCUCUACCUUAAAUCGAUGCCAUUGGUCAUUGAUCCCUCCAUUCUUCAUGAGAUGUUGAGGGGUGAUGGUUGGAUUGCCUCUUAUAGGAGAUGGUCAUUGCUUGCCAUUUGUGUGCACGAGUGUUAAUUGUCACUUGUCAGCCCAAGCCUGGGUGUUGUCAAGUCUUGCUGCAUUCCGACCCUCCGACUUCCACAGCAGUCAAAAAUGGUGCUGAUGAUUGUGUAAUCCUCGGCGAACAUCCUCACUUCUGACCUUACGAUGGAGUGAAGGUCAUUGAUGAAGCAGCUGGAGUUGGACACUACCCUGAGGAACUCCCUCAGAGAUGUCCUAGAGAUGAGAUGACUGACCUCUAACAACUAUGAGCCAGGUAUGGUUCCAACCACAGUGGAGUGUUUUCCCCAUUGAAUGAUGAACUGCUCACUGGUAUUGUUUUUGUCAUAGUUUGUAACUAUAACUUCAUGCAUGAGUGUUAUAAUUACUGUAGUUAAGUGACUAGGUAAUCACUGGUGAAUGUUUUUUUUACCAUCGUUGCUUUCUUAUUAGUGUGCUUCAUACACAGUGCUUUGUGCUGACUAGAUUAUCACUGAUAUAUUUACUGUAGUUUGGAACAGGAUUUCAAAUGUCCAUGUUAUAUUUGUUAUAGUUCAGCAACUGGAUCCUUGCAAUUCAGGUGUACAUUGGCAGUGGUUUAGUGCCUUGGUGCUUAUUAUUGCUUCCAAUUACUAUAGUUAAUUCAUGAUGUCCUCACCAGUGUGCUUUAUAUUUACACUGGUUAAUGAUUGGGUUCUCACUGGUGUAUUGUAUUUCCAGUGAUUUAAUGAUUGGAGCAUCAUGUGUGACCAUUAUGUUUGAAGCAUUAGACUUGCAUUUAUGUCAUGUUUUUCACAAUAAAAUCAUUUUCCCAAGUAGGGUCAUUGUUGUCAUGAAGGUGCUGAUUUGCAAUGGACAAACUCUCAAAAUGGCAAUUUAAUAGCAAACAGAUAAUCUGUCUUUGACAUGCUGAUACUUU